rnacentral:rRNA from 1 species
CCUACGGGUGGCAGCAGUGAGGAAUAUUGGUCAAUGGCCGAGAGGCUGAACCAGCCAAGUCGCGUGAGGGAAGACGGCCCUACGGGUUGUAAACCUCUUUUGUCGGGGAGCAAAGCGAACCACGUGUGGUUCAUUGAGAGUACCCGAAGAAAAAGCAUCGGCUAACUCCGUGCCAGCAGCCGCGGUAAUACGGAGGAUGCGGGCGUGAUCCGGUUUGUUUGGGUUUAAGGGGUGCGCAGGCGGAGGUGCAAGUCAGCGGUCAAAUUGCGGGGCUCAACCCCGUACUGCCGUUGAAACUGCAUCCCUUGAGUGCGCGAGAAGUAGGCGGAAUGCGUGGUGUAGCGGUGAAAUGCAUAGAUAUCACGCAGAACUCCGAUUGCGAAGGCAGCAUACCGGCGCGCAACUGACGCUCAUGCACGAAAGCGUGGGUAUCGAACAGGAUUAGAUACCCCUGUAGUC